UAUCAGUUCAACAUUUGGUAGGGCAUGGAUUCCAAAAAUUUUAUAUAAUUUGCAAAGAUAUGGUUGUCCAUUGACUGCUGAUUAUUUCUCAAGAAGACAGAUCACAUUACUUAUACAAUAACAUUACAUGUACGUGUGGUGUUUCCAUGGGCUGUCCAAAGGAUUCAGCAUGUGGACUAGGAUUCUGGAACAUAUUCAAGAAUACUUUUUUCGAUAUUAAGUUGCCACAAGGCUGUAGUAUUGUCUGCUUUGCUGACAACUGUUUGGUGACCAUAGACCAUUGCAUAUGCAAAAUUUCUCCACUUGUGGCACCACCUACAUGUUUGGUGUUGGUUAGGCUUAGCAUCCAGCUGUUAAUAGCGUUUCACUCUCAGUUUGAGUUUGUCUUUUUUUUCCUGCAUAGUUAAACUGGUUUAUUAUGGACUUUAGCAAGUUGACCAUUUCUGAGCUUAAGAAAUAAUUAAAAGAUAUUGGAGCAAAAAAACUGGGACAAAAGCUGAGUUAAUAGAAAG
rnacentral:lncRNA from 1 species